GAAACAGUAAGAUAUACAGAAAACAGCAGCAGCAUCAGAAUCACUAUCACUUCCAUCACCACACUACAACAGAAUUAGGUUAUAGGGACACAUGUUUGGGACACUUUUGAGUAAGUGUCCCAUUUAUGCUAAAACUUAAAGAAACAUCUACUAAUGCCUAAAUAUAAAUCCCAAUCCAACCAAAAAUAAAAUAUUACUCUACUCAACCCACUACACCUAGUCCAUUUGGCCCGAUUACAAACAGAAAAGAAAAAAAAAAGAAGAAAAAUCAAUUACCAUAUUUUCUUCUCUCUUCACUCAAUCCACUGAAAUUCUAGACGAAGAGCCAUUCCUGUCGUCCUCCUCCGCCACCGCAGCCAACGAGAUAGAGUUUCGGCGGAUGCUAAAUGCUUAAAUAAGUUGUUGGUAAAUUAGCAGCACUCUUUUAGGUUAUAGCGACACUCUUUAACUGUCACUAUAUACCUACCGACCCCACAUAUAGCAACACUUUUUAAAAGUGUCGGUAAUUUUAGUUAACAGCAUUUUUUUGACAUGUAUCUAUAUUUAAAAAUGUCGCUAUAGACCGUUUUUGUUGUAGUGCCACUCGCGUUCCCUUCGUCGACAUUGUCGCUAGUUUGUGUCGCUUCGAUACACUUAACUCUUUAAAUAUUUGUUUGGACCAAAAUUGAG
rnacentral:lncRNA from 1 species